GUUGAAAUGUAUAAAUACAAAAAAUAUACGGUGGUGUCAAGGGAAAGACACCAGUGUAAAACUGAAGUCGUCAUUAUUGAGAGUCAAGAUAUUAUCCAGAUAUCUAUAAUGCUCCUGCCUUCGGACAGGUACAAACUUUCGACUGGGUUAAACAUGUUUUGUGAGAUCUCAACCCUCCCCUAUACCUCUGGCCAAUGUAGAAUAACAACCACAAUGUAAUUACGCACAGUAAAAUUCCGACAAGUUUGUGAUAUCGAAAACCCUGCUGUUAUUAUUUUUCAGUAAGAUAUUUCUUUCGUUAAACUCAAAUACGUUGUUACAUGUGGGUCUAACACACAUACAUACAAUCAUACGGUGGUGUCAAGGGAAC
rnacentral:lncRNA from 1 species